AGCCUGGCCUUGAAUGCCUGCAGGGAUGGGGCAUCCACAGCCUCCUUGGGCAACCUGUUCCAGUGCUUCACCACCCUCUUACUGAGCCCCUUUGGUGCACAGCAGCGAUGCCCAGUGCAGUGCUGUCAGUGCUGGGGCAGAUCCGCCUGCCCAGGGUUUGGUGUGGGCAGGAGGGAGAGCGGCCGUGGGAAGAGACAUUCCCAAAAAGUUUUGUUAUUGCUGGGAGUCGGGGAAAGUCUGCUGUCAUUUCCAAGAAACAGAACAAGAAUGUCUAACGGUUACGGAUUAAAUCUCAUGAGCGCAUUUAGCGCUUCCUGCACGCGUGUGUAAUUAGGGAAUUAAGGGCUCAGUGGGGCUGUUCCAACAUUCCAGGUGAAUGCUGGGAGGGUGAGGGAGGUUUGCUGGGUUUAGCAACCAGAUAACAGAGGGCUGUUUGCUCAUGGAGCUGAAUUUCCAUAGCGCCCAUCGCUGCUCAGAUUGGUAUGGGGGAAAGCGGGAAGUGAUGCGAGUUGUUUUGUCUCCACAAAUGAUUGAUCAAAAAGGUUUUAUUUGGAAAAUAAAUUGUUGUUUGAACGUGCCUUAAAUAUUGAAAAAAGCCAAAGCUUCUGCGGAUCUGCGCACGGUAUGAAACCUCCUUCCAUGCAGUCUGAGUGUGUAACCCUUGUAUAAUUAGUGCACAAAUUCAAAUAAUGAAUGUGCUUACAGCUCUUCCUGCAGCCACUGCUUUCAUGUCUGCCCCGGAACACUUGUGCAGGUCUCAGGUGGGGUUUUACCCAGCAGCAAUGGAUCCCCAGCUCCCCUCCCCACUGCUGCCCAAUGCUCCCGGUGCUCCACGCCCUGUGCUGGACACUCCCUGUGCUCCUCCUUGCUAUGGAAACACCGCCCGCUGAGAUCAAACGGGACGAUGAGUGCCAUUUAUUAACUCGAUGAGGUGGAACGAGAGCCAAAUUGGUUGAAAUUCUAAUUGUUGAACUUUUUCCAUGUAUCAUCAGCGAAGUUUCCUACUUAGCCGGCGUGAUUUCCACCGCCGCACCCCCGUUUUGUUCUGCUGCUUUUGUUUGGAGUUGUUUAACUUCGCCCUGGUCGCUGGCUGGGCGCCCCAGGGACCUGAACAAAGAUCUCAGCUGUUCCAUUUGCGCUGGGAUGGAAAUGCUGGUGCUGGAGGAGGGGCGGCAGAGGGAAAGAGGCACUGGAAAAUGUGUUCCCUCCUCGCUUUCUCGUGUGUGUCAGAGGCUAUUUUAAUGACUUCGGGGAAACAGAUCUUCCCCACGCACACCGUAAAACAGACAGAGCUGCUCCUGGCGGUGCUGGAGCCGUCCGUCACGCAGGGAGCGCUGCUGGUGCCGCCCCGUGCUGCGGUGCGAUGCGGUGCGGUGCUCGGGAGCGCUUCAGGCUCUCGGGGUUCUUAAUGGGAACAUCUCCUCGCUUUAGGAGGAGCUUUUCGGUCCCAACCACCGGCGGCGGUGGGAGAUGAGCUCUCUGCCUGGCCUGGAUCAAUGCUGCCAUCUGCUUCUCCUGCCCAGGCACUGCUGCAGAGCUCUCCUGGCACUGCACCGCUGUUUUUGGAGCCUCCACCCCCGAAUGUCACUGCUGCCGAGAUGCCACCUCAGCAAGGUGUGUUCUCCUGCACGUUGUUCCCAGGAUGCAUCUUUAAAAUAAAGACAACAAGAAAGCAGCACCCCAGCCAGGAGGGAGCAGGUAAUGCCCAGGUGGGGGGCUUGCUGCUUGCUGCAGCAAUUUCAGUGCCAUCCUUGGGGUCAGCCCCUUGCUGAGCUCACAGCCUCACACCAUGUGUGCAGCAGCAAGCAGCCCGUGCUCCCUGGGAGAACCCUGCAAACAGGAGCUGUCUCUUCCUGCUGCCUUCCUUCUGCCCACAUCACAGCCCCACUUUCCCUCCUGGCUGAUCGUGUCCCACAUGUGCCCAGGGCUGUGCCAGCACCAAUUAGAAGACAGCCCCAAACCAGGGCUCACAGAGCUGCCCAGCACAGUGCACGGAUGUUUUGGUGUCUCCCAAGGAAAGCUCUACAGCUCAGACCAACAUCACGAGCAUCAGAAGAGCCUGGCACAGAGAGCAUUAUGAAACGAUUUGAGCUCUGAGCACAUUUCAAACACCGCGGUGUUUCUGAGUGUCCCAUGAGCUAUUUCAGGAGACGAUGACAGCGUAGCUCAGAUUUCCUGCACAGCCUUGCAGCUAUCUGCAGGUCCUACUGCAGCAUCAAGUGUUGUGCAGCAGCAGUCAGCAGAUAGGAUCUGGCACAGAGUGCUGCUCUUGGGCUGGGGCUGCUGCAGGAACCCUCUGAGCGGACACCGCUGACCCUGUGUGUGAUGUAGGGUGAGCACCGGGGAAAUAAACAUCGUGCUGCAGGGGAUGACAGCUCCCGGGGGGUGUGAGUGCACGCGGUGUGUGAAGCUGUGGCUGACGGCGGCUGUUUCCCCAUUGCCGCUGCACAGCGGGGCUCUGCUCACAGAGCCGAUCCGCCUGCAGCUCAAGGGAUGCUCCAGGCCCCUGCUGUCAGCCCUGCGCUGCCCAUGGCUCCAUCCUAACUGCGCUCCUCCCCCAGCUGGUAACAAGGAAGUCUGCUCCGAAAGUAAUGCCUCCAUUUUAUCACAUGGGCUCACAACAAAGGAGGUGGAUGCUGGCGGUAAGGCAGCAGGGGCUGAACGUUCCCACGCACUGACAUUCGUCGAUGCUGGCUUAAUGUUUAUGAGACCAAACAGUGGAUGUUGGCACAGUGAAAGACGGACUGUGUGGGCAACGUUUUCCUAGCAGCUGUGAAAAAGUGGGUCAUCUCCACCGGUGAAGAUCUGUAUGAGUCCAGCUACAGCUCUUGUUCAUCACUGCCAAAAACGCACAUUUAAUGGUGGUGACUACGUUGAAAAGUAGUAUUUUGGAGCUGAGAACCUGCUCUAUCAGUCUCUCUGUCGCUGUUGUAAUUUCCACGGAAAUAAAUAGGCAGCAUUACAUUCAGAGCGA